GGGGCUGUAGCUCAAUUGGGAGAGCGCUUGAAUGGCAUUCAAGAGGUAAGGGGUUCAAAUCCCCUCAGCUCCACCU
rnacentral:tRNA from 1 species